GACAGAGGGUGCAAACGUUGUUCGGAAUUACUGGGCGUAAGGCGAGUGUAGGCGGUUUCCUAAGUCGGAUGUGAAAGCCCCGGGCUCAACCCGGGAAGUGCACUCGAAACUGGGAGGCUAGAGUAUGGGAGAGGGAAGUGGAAUUUCAGGUGUAGCGGUGAAAUGCGUAGAUAUCUGAAGGAACAUCAGUGGCGAAAGCGACUUCCUGGACCAAUACUGACGCUCAUGUGCGAAAGCGUGGGGAGCAAACAGG
rnacentral:rRNA from 1 species